ACCCUUCAGACUGUCACUACACCUUAGCUAGCUACUGCAUCGAUGGAUUCCCAGGAGAGAGAAAUUGCUAGAUUUAUAAAUAGUAAUGAUGUUGUGCUGGGAGCAGGUUCAGACGAUCAAUGGCGUCAACUUAUUGGCGACUACCUUUUGACCUGAGCCGGAGAGCGUGGCCAUCAGUGACUCCGCAAACGGCACAGACACCGACUCAGACAAGCUCACCGAAGUCGAGGCCGAGCCCCUUGAGGAGGCAACCGAGGAAGACCACCCGUUACUGGUGGAUCCGUCAAUUACGGUGCUUCAGUCGGUCGAGGGGGAAUAUGUCAGUGAUGCUGGGCAAGAAAUUGAAAAGGCUUGCGUGUUCAGGUGCACUUGCAAGUCCAACAAACGGGAGCCCUGCUAUUUGUUUUUUACCCCCGAGGAGAUAAGAGACGUGACCAGAUGAAUUUUCUCAUCAAUGAUGAAAAACAUAUAGUGCUCAUUGGCAGAUCGCUGGUUCCAUUAACCUCUCCAAGAAAACUGUCAGCUCCAAAAGGAGCAAACAAAAAGAAAGGAAACAUCAGAGAUCAUAUUUCCUUGAUAGCAAGCAAAUCUGCAGAGGAACAUUCAAGUUCCUAAAUGACUGACUGCAGUGAUAAAGUUCUACAAGGAACAUGGUGUGGUUCCAAGGAAGAAGAGGUGUGGUGGUUGUCUCUCAAGCAAACGGGUGCUGUCCUACGAGAACAUUCAGCUAAUCGUCCACUAUGUUAACAACUAUCGCCGAUGUCCACCAAUUCCGCUCCCAGGACAGAUCCCUGGAUUUAAGAGGGUAGACUCCUGGGUGCUACUGACAUUUGAGACCAAGUCCUCUGUGUAGUCUAAGUACAAAUAAGUUGAUGCGUUAUCAUGGUGAGUGUUUUCCUAAAUCUUGAUACUUAUAUUUGUAUCAAACGUUCAUCAGCUCAAGCCAGUGGACCAGUGGCAAAGACUCUAACCAAAGCCCACACGAAUCGGAUCCAAAGAGACUGUCAGUCCUUAGUCUCUGGUGACGUGUGUGUGGUCAGAUUUUCUUUAACGUUUCUCAUUUUAGUUGCUGCUUAGAGACCAGAGCUUACUCUGACCAUUUAUUAGCUCUCACCACCUCCAUCCCCUUCCCUGUUUUAGCUCUUUUCAGAUGUCGUUUACUCUGUAUGACUGUCAUAAAAAUGCAGGUCCUGGGUUUGUGAGAGGGUUGCUUGGGCACAUCUAUACACAUUCGCUGUGAUGUAUUUUUGACAGAUGUCAUUUAACGUGGUCAUUUAUUCAUUAUUUAUCCUCCCAAGCCUUAUCUCCAAAUCUAACAUGGAAAAACUAUGGGCCACAACCAUGAUAUGUUUGAGGACUACAUGGGAUGUGUACGCGUUUGUGUGCACGUGUCGGUGCACGUACAAGUACGCACAAACGCGUGCACACCGCAUGUAGUCCUCGCACAUAUCAUGGAGUGAACAUGUGCAGCGUGAGUGUAUUUCUCUGUCAUACAUAUAUGUAUGUGCACGUGUACAUGUGCAUGCACGCACGUGCGCACGUGUGAAAAUAAGUAAAUGUAGUCAAUAUGCAUAUACGUGCAUGUGUGUGUGCAACAACGAUGCAGGCAGACACUGUCUAGUUAGAGCAAGAUGUAAUUUAUAUGUAGCCUGUGUGUGUGUGUGUGCGUCUGUGAGUGAGUGAGUGUGUUGUUAUUAAUUAUUUGAAUAAAUGUCUAAAAUUAACUGCAAACUUUGACAGCGUUUUUCUCAAAAACAUGGUUUGGUGAGAUUCAGCAUGUAAUGGCACAUAACUCGCUUGGUAUUUGCAGUAGAGAGAUCAUGUUGGUCUCAUUAGAAAGCUAACAUUCUCUUCUUUCCAGCACUGUAUAAAACUUCAAAUGUGUUUUGGGGUCAAUGUAACUGAUUAUGAUAGAACAAGUCACAUAUGUUACAAAUUACAAUUCGUAUUAUA